rnacentral:rRNA from 1 species
CCAAUAGCGUAUAUUAAAGUUGUUGCAGUUAAAAAGCUCGUAGUUGAAUUUCGGGAUUAGUACGCUGGUCGUGCCUUCGGUAUGUACUGGUGUUACUGGUUCCUACCUUCUGACGAACCGUCAUGUCAUUAAUUUGGUGUGGCGGGAAAUCAGGACUGUUACUUUGAAAAAAUUAGAGGGUUUAAAGCAGGCUCGCGCUUGAAUACAUUAGCAUGGAAUAAGGAAAUAGGACGUUCGAUCCUAUUUUGUUGGUUUCUAGGAUUGACGUAAUGAUUAAUAGGGAUAGUUGGGGGCAUUAGUAUUCAAUUGUCAGAGGUGAAAUUCUUGGAUUUAUUGAAGACUAACUACUGCGAAAGCAUUUGCCAAGGAUGUUUUCAUUAAUCAAGAACGAAAGUUAGGGGAUCGAAGACGAUCAGAUACCGUCGUAGUCUUAACCAUAAACUAUGCCGACUAGGGAUCGGAUGAUGUUAUUUUUAAUGACUCAUUCGGCGCCUUACG